rnacentral:piRNA from 1 species
ACUGCUGAAAAUCUGCAUCUCUGUCUCC